GGUUGCUUCUUGUGAAGGAGUGUUCUACAAUUAGUGACUCAUUGCCAGCUGGGUGUUGAUAACUGGAGAUGCUUUCAAGAAAUACAUGUAGGAGUCAAGAUACAGCAAAGCAGAACUGUGGUGUUUAAGUGCAACUUAAAAUUGAAGAUACUUUAUGGGGGAAGAAGUCCUCUUGGUCUUUCUGAUAAUGCCCUGAGCAGUCUGCUGGAUGCUGCUUCACAC